rnacentral:rRNA from 1 species
UAGGGAAUCUUCCACAAUGGACGCAAGUCUGAUGGAGCAACGCCGCGUGAGUGAAGAAGGUUUUCGGACCGUAAAGCUCUGUUGUUGGUGAAGAAGGAUAGAGGUAGUAACUGGCCUUUAUUUGACGGUAAUCAACCAGAAAGUCACGGCUAACUACGUGCCAGCAGCCGCGGUAAUACGUAGGUGGCAAGCGUUGUCCGGAUUUAUUGGGCGUAAAGCGAGCGCAGGCGGAAGAAUAAGUCUGAUGUGAAAGCCCUCGGCUUAACCGAGGAAUUGCAUCGG